UACGGGGGGGGCAAGCGUUGUUCGGAAUUACUGGGCGUAAAGGGCUCGUAGGCGGCCAACUAAGUCAGACGUGAAAUCCCUCAGCUUAACUGGGGAACUGCGUCCGAUACUGGAUGGCUUGGAUUUGGGAGAGGGAUGCGGAAUUCCAGGUGUAGCGGUGAAAUGCGUAGAUAUCUGGAGGAACACCGGUGGCGAAGGCGGCAUCCUGGACCAACAUUGACGCUGAGGAGCGAAAGCUAGGGGAGCAAACGGG
rnacentral:rRNA from 1 species